rnacentral:rRNA from 1 species
AGAGGAUGACCAGCCACACUGGAACUGAGACACGGUCCAGACUCCUACGGGAGGCAGCAGUGGGGAAUAUUGCACAAUGGGCGCAAGCCUGAUGCAGCCAUGCCGCGUGUAUGAAGAAGGCCUUCGGGUUGUAAAGUACUUUCAGCGGGGAGGAAGGGAGUAAAGUUAAUACCUUUGCUCAUUGACGUUACCCGCAGAAGAAGCACCGGCUAACUCCGUGCCAGCAGCCGCGGUAAUACGGAGGGUGCAAGCGUUAAUCGGAAUUACUGGGCGUAAAGCGCACGCAGGCGGUUUGUUAAGUCAGAUGUGAAAUCCCCGGGCUCAACCUGGGAACUGCAUCUGAUACUGGCAAG